AAUUUGUGAAUUAUUAAGUGACAAACUGACAAAGUUGUUCUAGCUAGCCGUUGCAGGUGCUCUUAUAAGCCCACGACACAUUAUUGUUCGAAGUUUCCGACAAAAAUAAUCAUCAUGUCGAUAAUUCUCCGGCGAAAAAAUUUGAAACAACUCCUUCCAUUUUCUCUCUCCUCUACUUCUCUUCUGCCAUCUUCUUCAUCAUCUCCACAACACCUCCGCCAAUAUCACCGACACUCCCAAUCCCUUAAACCCACCAAUUUCCUUUCAUCUCAUCCCCAAUUUCCAGUAUUUCUCAAAUUAGGGUUAGGGUUUCAAGGUCGGCUCAAAUGGGAAGGAAGCUCCGACAAUUACGACCAAAUCAAGGCAGUCGUCAAUUGCCCUCGUUGUUCAAAGCAAAUGAAUGUUCUCUUCUCGAAUCGUCCAUUGUCAAUUACUCCCAACGAAGUGGGUGUUUAUCAAGCGUUGAACAUUUGUCCUCACUGCAAAACUGCGUUUUACUUUCGACCGUUUAAGUUGGCGCCAUUGCAGGGGAGUUUCUUUGAGAUUGGGAAGGUUGGAGGGAAGGAUAAGGAUAAGGAUGGUAUGAUGAUGGAAGGAAAGUUUGUGAAGGAUGAUGAUGACGACGACGACGAUGAUGAUAAUAAUGGUGAAGAUGAGAAUGAGAAGGUUUCUAUGUGGCAGAAGUUGAGGUCUUAUGUCAGGGAUCUUCCUCCUCCUUCUUCUUCAUCCGAGGGGUCGACACCGCUUUCCAGGGAGAAUCUUUGGGCUGCUUCUAGGGUGGAGUGUGAUAGUGUGCCUGGAGAAGUGCCCAAGGGAGGAGGAGGUGCGGUUGGAGAGAGAAGCGGGUGGGGCGGAGCGAAUUUGGGGAAGAGUUUGCCCACGCCUAAGGAGAUUUGUAGAGGGCUUGAUGAGUUUGUCAUUGGGCAGGAACGAGCUAAGAAGGUACUUUCAGUGGCAGUCUACAACCAUUACAAGAGAAUACAUUACACUUCUGAGCAAAAUCAGUCAGGUGCAGAUGUAGAUGGCAAUGAGGUGAAACAGGAUGACUUUGAUCUUGUUGAAUUGGAAAAAAGCAAUGUCUUAUUGAUGGGUCCAACUGGUUGUGGGAAGACAUUACUCGCAAAAACAAUGGCUCGCUUGGUGAAUGUGCCGUUUGUCAUUGCAGAUGCAACAACAUUGACUCAAGCAGGCUAUGUUGGGGAAGAUGUUGAGUCAAUAUUGUUUAAGCUACUAACGGCCGCUGACUUUAAUGUGGAAGCUGCACAGCAAGGGAUAGUCUACAUUGACGAAGUGGAUAAGGUUACAAAGAAGUCUGAGAGCUCAAACAUUGGAAGAGAUGUAUCUGGUGAAGGUGUUCAACAAGCAUUACUGAAAAUGCUAGAAGGAACAAUAGUAAAUGUUCCGGACAAGGGUGCUCGGAAGAAUCCCCGUGGUGAUAGCAUACAGAUCAAUACAAAAGAUAUUUUGUUCAUAUGUGGUGGAGCAUUUGUUGAUCUGGAAAAAACUAUUUCUGAAAGGCGUCAUGAUUCAUCGAUUGGUUUUGGAGCACCAGUUCGUGCUAACAUGAGAUCUGGCAGGACAACUGAUGCUGUGGUUGCAUCUUCAUUAUUAGAAAUUGUAGAAAGCAGUGAUCUUAUUUCAUAUGGUCUCAUACCAGAAUUUGUUGGCAGAUUUCCAAUUUUAGUGAGUUUAUCUGCAUUGAAUGAGGAUCAACUCGUCCAGGUUGAUUUCAGCUCUCUUGUAGUUGAACCACCUAAUUCUUACAGAAAAUAUUUUCAUGAACUUGGUCCAUAUCUCUUUCAACCCCUCUCCCCUGGCUACCAAAAUGCAAAUCAGUACUAUAAUAUCAAUUUAUGUCCAAAGUCAUGAAGUAUGACUAUAACAUAUUGGCUGUUUAUGUCAGUUAAACAUUCUUGGGGAGUUUAAAUAAUGUGGCCUCGAGAAUUUGCUGCAAGUAAUAUCAACUUUUAAUCAUUGUGUGUUUAAUGAUUUGCCGAUGCCUGUAGAGGGAACAUAAAGGGAUACUGACAUGAUGUAGUCAUUAUAAAAUAAAUAAGUAAAGUUAUUUUAUAACAAAUUUAACUGUUAAUCAAACUCCAGAAAAUUAAUUUUUUUAGCUUAUCUACAACUUUAGUUAUCUAUAAAUUGAUUUAAGCUAAAAAUUAACAAUUUUUGUUAGCUUUAAUUAUUUUUUGUGAUUUAAUUAACACUUAAGUUAGCUUUAAAUUGAUUUUUGUUUUUUAAUUAACAUAUAUAGUCAUAUUGUCUAGUCAUCAUGGCAUUUUCAUUAAUAUAUCAACAAUAGUGGGACCCAUAUUUAAUACAAAAUUGUUGAUUUAUUUACAUUUUUGCCAUUUGAUAAACAAAUUUUGUUUAUCAAAUUGGUUAAGUGGGACUCCCUCAUAUACAGAAAAUAGUGCUGUUAGAUAAUCUAUGUUUUGGUUAGAUUUAAGUAUUUUUUGCUAUAUCAAUUAGAAUAUAUUUGUUUAAUUUCUACUUCGGCAACCGCAUAUCGUUUAGUGCACAAUGAUUGAUAGUUGGUAUUAUUUACAAUAGAUGCUGUAUUAUAUAGCACACAUCAGCGAUAGUUGGUAAUUUUAUAUAGCCAUUUCCCUUAAAAUAAAUCUCAUUACUAGAAAUAGGUUUAAAGUGAGUAGUUUACUUGUAUCAAUAGUAUAAUAUUAUAAGGUAUACCAGAAAUAAUAAUAUUGAUAUUUAUUUAUUUUUACAAAAUAUAAUUGUAAAAAAGUUUAGCUUUGAGCUCCCAACUUUUGUUGCGAUUUUUUGGGACCCGAACUUUUUACAAUAAUAACUGCAGAAUUCUCAUGUUCUCUUGUUUGUAAAAUCUAUGUUCUUUACCCUUUUGGAAAGCAGCAACAAGAAGCAGUGGGGUGCAAUCACAGUGGUUCCAGCUUGUUCUUCUAAAGACUUGUGUCAUCAUAACUAAGUUUUGCAAUCAGGCUCUUGAGUCUCGCUAAACUUGCUUGAGUUAUUUAUAAUGCUUUUUUGAAAUCUUAUUUUUGUGUGAGGAUCUUAUUUGUAUUUAGGAUUUGCGGAUUUGUAGUACUUCUCUUUGUAGGUCUCAUAUUCUAACUCAAGGGGUAAAGUGGGUGAUUACUGGGAAUGAAACUCAAUGGGCAUGGCUCACUCUAUUUUAAGGAACCCAUGAGACUGUUGGUAUUGAUUAACUGUUUCAUUGGCAGUGCAAUCUUGUAUUUUACAUUGCCAUAAAAAUGCAAUUAAAUAAGAAACUGAAGGUGUUAAACUCAUGUCAAUAUGACAGCCAUAUAAUUGUAGCAUAAUGCUAUUGUCCGUCUUUCCCUCUCCCUUCUCCGAAGUAUAUAGCUUCCGCCUCCAAAAAUGUGGUUUGCAGGUGACUUUUGCUCUUUUGGUUGUCUUCCAGGUCCUCAUGCAGCCAAGAAAUGCACUUGGUAAACAAUACAAAAAGAUGUUUAGCAUGAAUGAUUGAUGCAGGUCAAAUUUCAUGUU